rnacentral:rRNA from 1 species
UUAAACUGAAGAGUUUGAUCAUGGCUCAGAUUGAACGCUGGCGGCAGGCUUAACACAUGCAAGUCGAGCGGAAACGAUGGUAGCUUGCUACCAGGCGUCGAGCGGCGGACGGGUGAGU